rfam:Populus trichocarpa isolate Nisqually-1 chromosome 10, whole genome shotgun sequence.
UAAUUUGUUUGAGAUAGAUCCUCAUUUGGUUAUGGCAGACUCACAUCUGGUUGCUCAGAAUCAUUUAUUGUUGUGUGAACAAUAACUUUUUAAGAUUUUAAUUGUAGU